GGCAUCAUAGAAUAAUCAAAGGAGCAAUCCGCUUUGAGAUGGACCCGCGGCGCAUUAGCUAGUUGGGGAGGUAAGGGCUCACCAAGGCGACGAUGCGUAGCCGACCUGAGAGGGUGAUCGGCCACAUUGGAACUGAGACACGGUCCAGACUCCUACGGGAGGCAGCAGUGGGGAAUAUUGCGCAAUGGGGGAAACCCUGACGCAGCAACGCCGCGUGAGUGAUGAAGGUUUUCGGAUCGUAAAACUCUGUCUUUAGGGACGAUAAUGACGGUACCUAAGGAGGAAGCCACGGCUAACUACGUGCCAGCAGCCGCGGUAAUACGUAGGUGGCAAGCGUUGUCCGGAUUUACUGGGCGUAAAGAGUAUGUAGGUGGGUGCUUAAGUCAGAUGUGAAAUUCCCGGGCUUAACCUGGGCGCUGCAUUUGAAACUGGGCAUCUAGAGUGCAGGAGAGGAAAGUGGAAUUCCUAGUGUAGCGGUGAAAUGCGUAGAGAUUAGGAAGAACACCAGUGGC
rnacentral:rRNA from 1 species